rnacentral:tRNA from 1 species
GUCCUCGUGGUGUAGUGGUUAUCAUACUCUCUUAGGGUCCAGCUAUGGGAGUGGCCCCGCGUUCGAAUCGCGGCGAGGACC